UCUCAUCUGCAGAUGCAUCUGUUUCUGCACCAAAGUUAAACAAAGAAACAAAAAAGCGAAAAGCAAAAUAUGCUGACAUUGUAAGUGAAGAAUUAAGGUCAAUUAGAGUUGGAAUGGAUGCAGUUGUUGCGGCUCUUGAUAGAAGCAACCUUCAAAAUUAUACAGAAGAGCAAUUGUUUGAAGAGAUUGCUAAGAUUGGAGGCAUGAGUGAUGUAUCUCAUAUGAAAGCAUAUCAAGCUCUUACCGGUGAUGUGAGUGCAGCCCGAGCCUUCCUUGCUUGUCCAAUUGAUAGGCGUAAGCUUUGGUUGUCAGUUAAAUUUGGACCUACUUUUUUUGAUGCCUAAUUUGAGAUAAUCUACUUAAAAAGGCUUGAAAGUGGAACAUGAUUUUAUUCCACUUGUUCCACAAGUAUCAAUGGGUGUGCAGAUCAAACAAGCCUAAUGGACAGCCUAAGUGGCUUCUUUCUCUUAUUCCAGAUUAUUCGCUGCUCAACUUCAUGCUCACAACUGCCAUCUAUAUCUUAGUCCCCUCGGCUUUUUGAACUAACCAAUACACUUAAAGACAGCUUUUAUUCCUACAAAGGACAAUCACCGGCUGCUGCAUAAAUUUUCUUUCUGGAAUUUCAUAUUUCUCUGUGCUUAUAUUGCAUUGGGUUCAUUCUUCUUCAGAUUCUUCAUGCACAAUUAAGUUCUAUUUCUUGCUUCUAUGUUAUUGGAAUGAAUCAGAUUUGCAAGAUGUAUUGCAAAAUGCAUUCUUAAGGAUUUUAACUGGAUCAUGUCAUUCAGAAUCCAUCAAACUAAUUUUGAUGUUUGAACGUUCA